rnacentral:lncRNA from 1 species
AUGCCCCUGAAGUUCAGGGACUUGGGGGCGAGUGUCCCCCGCGCCGAGGCGGGGGCGCAACGGCGUCGGCGGGGCCCGGGCCCACAACGGCCGGCCGUGCGCCCCCGCCUCCGCCCCGGCGCCGCGCAGCCCCUCCCGGCAGCGGCCGGAGCCCGCGGGGCCCGCGCCUUCCCGCGCCGCGGCCGCCGCCGUCACAUGCCGUCCGCGCCGCCCAGGAGGCCUCGCCCCCGCGCCCAGCCCCCCGCAGCCCCUCGACCCAAAGUUUCGGCCUCAAGAGCGGUUGCAGGGCGCGCGGGCUCGGGGCGCCGGGCGGCGGCGGGCGGGCGGGCGGGUCGGCGCGGCCGGAGCGCGCACACCGGCGGGGGUCGCGACAGCGCCCGGCCGGCCCCGGGACACGUCCACAACUUUGCGCGGCCGCGGAGCGGGGGCCGCCGCGGGAGCCGGCACUUCUGCGCCUGCCGGGCCCCCGGGGGCCGAGGGAUGCGCGAGCCGCGGUCCGGAGCCGGACGCCGUCCGCGACCAGCCGCGGCGGGGCGGCCGCAGCUGCGCCCGGGAGUGCGGGCUCCCGCCCCGCCAACUCGGGAGGGCUCGGCGCCCCGCUGCGAUCACCUGUUCCCGGCCCCCGCCGGCCCCGCGGGGCGCGCAGCCCCGGCUGCACCGCUCUCGCCGCAGCCCGCGCGUCCUCGCGGCGGCCGCUCCAGACGGGCCGCCGCCGCCGCCGCAGGCUCCUCCGCCGCCGCCGAGCCUGCGCCCCACACCCGCGCGCACCGCCCGGACGCCGCCGCCGCCGCCGCCGCAGCUCCGGCUUUCACUGAGACGGCGCCCGCGGCCCCGCCUCCCGGGCCACGCCCUCGGGCCACGCCCACUGCGCGCGCCCCGCGGGCCUCCUCCGCCGCGGCGCCGCGGCCGAGCCAAUGGCCCCGCGUCCGUGGGCAGGGAGCGCGGGAGCCGAGCGCGGGUGGGCAGAGGCGACGGGACUCCAAGCCACGCCCCCCCGGCGGCCGGCGCCGCGCACUGCCCCCAUCCCGCCCCCAUCCCGCCGGCGCCACUGGUCCAGCUGCGCGGAGUGGGCGGGGGCGGGGUGCAGAGCGGAGCCAGGUCAUUGGCUGCCUCGGAGAGGGAUCCCCGCUGGGCUGCAGUCGCCCAUUGGUUAGCGGCCCGCGUUCGCCGGCCUGGGAGCGACCGAGAGCGCCCCCCUGGCCGCCCCCGGGUGGGGCCGGAGGCUCGGCCAGCCUGAAGGGCUCUGGCCAUUGUUCGGUAACCUCUGUCACCCCUCCGCGCCGGCCCAGGGGUCCGCAGAGCUUCCCCGGGAGGGGGCCGUGGUGGUGCAGCUGGGGCAGGCUGCGGGCCGGGAGGUGGCUGGCUGGAGCCAAGCCGCGGACCUGCGGCUGCGGUUGGACCAGGCUAAGGCAGUGUUUCCACUGGAGCCCCACCGACCACUGCUCUGCCUUCCUUUUCCCACAGCCGCAAACCAGGCUAGGGGCCCCGAAGGUGCCGGGGGGGCGGGGGGGGGGGAGAUGCGAGGUGAGGACAGAGAAGAGAGAACCCUGGUCUUGUGUACAGACCACAUACCUCAUGUGA